GGAGGAAAGUAGGGGAUCGAAAGACCUUGCGCUUUUGGAGCGGCCGAUGUCUGAUUAGCUAGUUGGUAAGGUAAUGGCUUACCAAGGCGACGAUCAGUAGUUGGUCUGAGAGGAUGGCCAACCACACUGGGACUGAGACACGGCCCAGACUCCUACGGGAGGCAGCAGUGGGGAAUUUUGGACAAUGGGGGAAACCCUGAUCCAGCAAUGCCGCGUGAGUGAAGAAGGCCUUCGGGUUGUAAAGCUCUUUCAGUUGAGAAGAAAAGGUUAUGACUAAUAAUCAUGGUUCAUGACGGUAUCGACAGAAGAAGCACCGGCUAACUACGUGCCAGCAGCCGCGGUAAUACGUAGGGUGCGAGCGUUAAUCGGAAUUACUGGGCGUAAAGGGUGCGCAGGCGGUUAUGUAAGUCAGAUGUGAAAUCCCCGGGCUUAACCUGGGAAUUGCGUUUGAAACUACAAAGCUAG
rnacentral:rRNA from 1 species